rnacentral:rRNA from 1 species
UUGACGGGGCCCGCACAAGCGGAGGAACAUGUGGUUUAAUUCGAUGAUACGCGAGGAACCUUACCUGGGCUUAAAUGUAGAGUGCAUUUUUUAGAGAUAGAAAUUCCCUUCGGGGCUUUCUGCAAGGUGCUGCAUGGUUGUCGUCAGCUCGUGCCGUGAGGUGUCGGGUUAAGUCCCAUAACGAGCGCAACCCUUAUCGUUAGUUGCCAUCUGGUAAUGCAGGGGACUCUAGCGAAACUGCCACCGUAAGGUGAGAGGAAGGUGGGGAUGGCGUCAAAUCAGCACGGCCCUUAUGUCCAGGGCUACACACGUGUUACAAUGGUCGGUACAGAGGGCAGCUACCUGGUGACAGGAUGCUAAUCUCGAAAACCGGUCUCAGUUCGGAUCGAAGUCUGCAACUCGACUUCGUGAAGCUGGAUUCGCUAGUAAUCGCGCAUCAGCUAUGGCGCGGUGAAUACGUUCCCGGGCCUU